UUUUGGUUGAAAUGAAGAACUUGAUCAAUACAGGAGCCAGCUGACACCUGCUUGUUAGUGCUUGAAGAACAAUAGUAUUUCAAAGCUCAUUGGUCUCACCCUCGCUCUUCCCCAGUGAUGAAAAUGUCCGCACUCUUUAGUUCUGUAUUUUCUCGUUUUGCUAGUUGAAAAAAAGCCAAUGCUGGUGUGCUUACCAAUUUUGAAGUACUUGACUUUUUACGGUAUAGAGGUGCUGCUAAGGAUCCUACUUGGGUGAUUUCCCCUAUAGGCUAUAGCAGCAUCCGAGUUUAAGGCCUAUGACUAUCUAGUUGAGAGUGCUGCUUGCAAUCAAACAAGAGUGAGCAUUAAUGAGUUCACAGAAAAAUGUUCAAAGUAUCACCUUCUGAAAGCUGAGAUCUCUUCAAUAUAACCAAUAUGAGGUGUCAACUUCACCAGUUGAAAAAUUGACCCGGUAACUUUUCUUGGAAUGCUGCUUCUUCUUGGUCUCUUUUUUUGGUUCUUUUGUUUACCGCAUUUUGAAAUU